rnacentral:rRNA from 1 species
UACGUAGGGUGCAAGCGUUAAUCGGAAUUACUGGGCGUAAAGGGCGCGUAGGCGGCCUGUUAAGUCGAACGUGAAAUCCCCGGGCUCAACCCGGGAACUGCGUCCGAUACUGGCAGGCUUGAAUCCGGGAGAGGGAUGCGGAAUUCCAGGUGUAGCGGUGAAAUGCGUAGAUAUCUGGAGGAACACCGGUGGCGAAGGCGGCAUCCUGGACCGGCAUUGACGCUGAGGCGCGAAAGCCAGGGGAGCAAACGGG